AUCCAUUUUAAUUGUGCGCAGCAGAGUUACUUUAAUCGUUUAGUUAAUAUAAUAAAGUCAGGUAUUCAAUGGGUUCCGUUAGCCGAAAGUGGAUGACGAAAUUAUUGUGGCAAAAAAAUCCCGAAAGGGGUUUAUAUACAGCUCUAAAAGAGCUUUGGCCAAGGACUCUGAAGACCUGGACAAAUGUUUGAGAAAGGCGAUGACGAACGUGAAAAACAAACUAACUAAACAAAAAAACAGAAAUACUAACAAUAAUUGUCCCCUUAUUGAAAAUCUGAAUAAUAAGAUUUAAUUAAAAUGAAUUAAA